rnacentral:rRNA from 1 species
CCUACGGGAGGCAGCAGUGGGGAAUUGUUCGCAAUGGGCGAAAGCCUGACGACGCAACGCCGCGUGGAGGAUGAAGACCUUCGGGUCGUAAACUCCUUUCGAUCGAGACGAAUGGCCUCCGGGUAAAUACUCCGGAGGAGUGACGGUACCGAGAGAAGAAGCCCCGGCUAACUCCGUGCCAGCAGCCGCGGUAAUACGGGGGGGGCAAGCGUUGUUCGGAAUUACUGGGCGUAAAGGGCUCGUAGGCGGCCAACUAAGUCAGACGUGAAAUCCCUCGGCUUAACCGGGGAACUGCGUCUGAUACUGGAUGGCUUGAGUUCGGGAGAGGGAUGCGGAAUUCCAGGUGUAGCGGUGAAAUGCGUAGAUAUCUGGAGGAACACCGGUGGCGAAGGCGGCAUCCUGGACCGACACUGACGCUGAGGAGCGAAAGCCAGGGGAGCAAACGGGAUUAGAUACCCCGGUAGUCCUGGCCCUAAACGAUGAAUGCUUGGUGUGGCGGGUAUCGAUCCCUGCCGUGCCGAAGCUAACGCAUUAGCAUUCCGCCUGGGGAGUACGGUCGCAGGCUGAAACUCAAGGAUUGACGG